UACGGAGGGUGCGAGCGUUGUCCGGAAUCACUGGGCGUAAAGGGUGCGUAGGCGGCCGAAUAAGUCACGUGUGAAAGGCCGGGGCUCAACCCCGGAUCGGCAUGUGAGACUGUCCGGCUCGAGCACGGUAGAGGCGAGUGGAAUUCCUGGUGUAGCGGUGGAAUGCGUAGAGAUCAGGAAGAACACCGGUGGCGAAGGCGGCUCGCUGGGCCGUUGCUGACGCUGAGGCACGAAAGCGUGGGGAGCAAACAGG
rnacentral:rRNA from 1 species